AAAUUUCUGCCAUCAGAAACCAAAGGCUUUGGGGUAUUUACUUCUAGCCACAAUUUAUCUGCAUACUUUUAAAAUACACUUAUGCUGUGGUCUUCAAUAUUGGUGGUUUUUUUAAUUUAUUAAAUCAAAAUCAUUUUUAAAUGCUUCUAGAUUGUCCUAUCAAAACUGGGGAGGGGCAGGGCACUCACAAUGACAGAUCGGGUAAGCUACAAAAUCACUUGGCAAUACAGAAAGGCUGACACUUCAGGGCUGAGCAGAGCCACAAAUGGAAUGCGUCUAUUGGUACUUCUUCCCUUUUUAGGGUCAUUUAAAUUCUGCAGGUAUAAAUGGCUUAUGCAGGUAGUUUGUUCUGAGCAGAGGCUAAGAGAGACACCCAAGAAUCAUGUAUCAUGAAUUGUCUAAGUCAGAAUGGAAGGACUAGAAAGCAGCAACGUGUUGGGACAAACAGAAAAAUACUUGACUGCGUAUAGUGAUGGUGUGCCCUUCAGUGGUACUUUCUUUGGACACCUCCGAAGGGUUUCAAACAGGAAGGACCCAAUUCUCCGGAAGACGUGUUUUGCCUGGGGAUGUUUAUCUCAGAACCUGAGUUCUGUACAGUUCUGUAUCUCCGUUACCUGAGCCAGGCACAAACUUGGGUGAAAUCCUGUAGUGAUCUUGAGGUGGGUGCCUCUGCUUUGUUCUAUGGCCGAAGAGAGAUAGUAAGACCAUAGCAAGCCAAGUUUUAUUUGGAAGAUCGGUAGUGAAAACAGUUUGUAAUCUGAACUGAUGAAGCAUUAUGGCUGCACAAAUAACUAAAAAUAUAGGGCCUAGAAAAUCAGUACCAUGGUCUCCAGCUAGGGUUACUCACAUGACAUUAUUUAAUGAUGAGAAGCUGUGUAUUCCACAGGCAUUGGUAGGCAAUAUAAUUAGAAGAAUGCUUUGCCAGCGAUACAACUAGGAGUGAACUAAUUUAUGAUUUAUUUUUAAGUGACUAGGACCCUUAAUUUAUCUACCAGGACAUCACUGAGGUAAAAAUAAAAAUAAUAAUAAUAAUAAAUUUUAAAAUAAGCAUUGCAAAUGCAGUGGCAUUGAAGUACUAAACAGGAACUUAAAAAGCAACAGAAACAAUUAUGGCUAAUGAAGUAGAUUAAUUGACUAAUUGGUGUUUCCAUGUGUAAUUGUUCCUGCAAUUAUGAUUCACUUGCCGCUUUCUAUACUGCUAUUCUCUAAACAUAUCCUGACAUGGAGUGGAGGUAGAAGACAUUGGCAGUUUGGGAGAUCUAUUGAGCAAAGGAUUUUUACCUUAAAGUGAGAAGGCAGGACAUCAAAGCACACCUGACGAGAGCUGAGGAAACUGUACUCAGCAUCAUCUCCUCGACUUUGACCAACCUGAUGGACUUUCAUCUUCUAAUGGGCACUUAUCUAAUCUAUAAAAUGACAGGGUAUGGUUUCAGCCUUAAAACAGGAUUAGCCAGUCCAAAUCACAACUGCCCGUGCCUUUAACGUUUUAAGGAGAAAUGAUGUAUUGAUCAUGCACGAGAUUCUAUUUUCAUUCCAGACAAAUUCACCUUCCAUGCAAAUAGACUGCCUGGCGGCUGUUCCAGGGUGCUGUGUAGGUAAAUAACUGUGGGGGACACUGUUUCCCUAAGAAUUACAACAACAUUUGAAAACAAAAACAUGUUGCUUUCCCCAGGAAUGUAAAUCUCAGACUGUGCUCAAGUCUGAAGAGAAAUAUGAUGGCCAAGGAAAAAUAAACUCUAAAAAUAAGAUUCAAACCUAAACGAUGUGCACAGUAACUAGACUUACUCAAAACACACUCUAGAAAUACAUUCCUUUUUAUUUUUUAACUGAAAAUAAUUUUUUGUACAGUAUAUUUUGAUCAUCAUUUUUCCUCCCUCAUCUCCUCCAAGAUCCUCCCCCUACCUCCUAACCUGUCCAAAUCCACACCUUUCCCUCUGUCUUUAUUGAUGGUCUGUUUGAUUUCAUGAUGCCAAAGAUUUAAUUGUGUGCUUGUGUGUGUGUGUGUGUGUGUGUGUGUGUGUGUGUGUGUGUGUGUGUGUGUGUGUGUGUGGUGAGACUAUGCCACAUGUGCCCAGAUGCCCAUGGAGGUUGGAAGAAGACAUCUUCCUGUAACUGGAGUUGUGGGUGCCAGCAACUUAAGUCCCUUGGAAGAAUAUACCAUGGGCCCUUAACUCUAAAAUGUAAUGUUUUAGUUAUUUGAGAAGUUCAUGCAAUGUAUUUUGACCACAUUCAGGCCCCACUCCUUUCCUAACUCUUCUCAGACCAAUUCUCAACUGCACGUUACUUCCAAUAUCAUGUUCUCUUUUUAAAAAAAGAAAAAAUUAAUAGCCCAGGACUGGAGAGAUCAGAGGUUAAGAGCUGAACUGCUCUUCUAGAGAGGUCCUGAGUUCAAAUCCCAGCAACCACAUGGUGACUCACAACCAUCUGUAAUGGGAUCUGAUGCCCUCUUCUGGUGUGUCUGAGACAGCUAUAGUGUACUUAAUAGAUAGAUAGAUAAAUAGAUAGAUAGAUAGAUAGGUAGAUAGAUAGAUAGAUAGGUAGGUAGGUAGAUAGAUAGAUAGAUAGAUAGAUAGAUAGAUAGAUAGAUAGAUAGAUAGAUAGAUAUUUUUGAAAAAUUAAAAAUAAAAUAGCCCAUCAUACCCACUUUGUGCUACCUCAUGAGCAAAAGGCCACUAAAUUGUUACUGAUGCUCCAGGGACCAUUCCUUUAAAGAAAAGUGACCCUUUCCCCCAGGGAACCAUCAUCUCCCCAUAGCUUCGAAGUGAGGGGUGGAGGCUCAUAAGCCCCUCACUCCUCCAUGCUAGAACACUAGCUGGUUUGAUCUUGUACAGGUCUUCCCUGCAGGCAGCCAUAGCUGCUGUGAGAUCCUGAGCCCAGCCGUCCUGACACUCCUAGCAUUGUUUUAACUCAGUUCUCCCCUGCCCCAAAGCUCACACAGUCUGUUCCUUCCCUCUUCCACUGAGUCCCUUUGGGGAGUCAGUACUGCAUAAGAGAGAUGUGCCACAUUUGUGGCUGGACUCUGUGUGUCUUCACUAGUGAGUUUCUGUGUUAAACCCUGUUCAUUGCACAGGGAUCGUCUCACAAAUCCUGUGCUAAUCUAUAUAGAGGGUACAGAGGUACAGAUUUAGAGAGUAGUGUGAUACUGUGCUAUUGAACAAAGUAACAGUAGUAGAUUCACUCUUAGCAUCCAUGAGCCUCCCAACCAUGGGUUCUUAGCCAGAUUUACAGUAUUUUUUUCCCAUGGUGCUAGUCCUAAAUUCCAUCAUAAAACAGUUAUUUAUCCUUGUAACAUUACUGUGGUCAUUAUACCCAUAAGCCAAUCUUGCCACACUGGUCAUUACUGUAGUUCACUGAGGUCACUGCUAGGUAAGACUGUCAAUGAAUUCUAUUCGCCAGCAACCUACAUAGCACCUCCUGGUACUAUGAAAUCUGACCAUCAGAAAAGAAACUCCCUAGUAAGUUUCAUUUUUCCACAUCCUGAGACCAAAACAUGUGAUGUCUUCACCCAUAAGCCCUUACCUUUGAGUUCUGCUAGGUAACCAAGAAGAAUGACAAUAGUCUAUGUUGCUUGGGAAUUCUGCAGAGUGUCCUUAACCAACAGCUCAUGGGAAGGUGUCCCACACGCAGCACUGACUUUUCAUUUCACAACCUAUGGUUUCUUAGAGAAAUACUGUUAGAGUAGUUUUAUAUGAAAAUAUAUGAAGCGUAUAAAACAGUAGGUGUCCAUAUGAUUUUCCAAGGAUUCUCAUUCAGUGUUAUUGCUACUGAGGAACUAUCUCUGCUCUGCUCUCCUGAGGUUACUCUUUCCACCUAAGUCUCUCUUCUUAGUAUCUCCUCUCCCUUCAUUUCACCAGUGUUCCACGACCCCCCACCUGCAUCCUUAAGACCUUUUUCCCCCUUCUCUACCAAUGGUCCUUGGCUAAUAUCCUUUACUCUGCAGGUACUCAGGCUAAGAAGACAAUUCUAAAGAGUCAAUGAUUACAUCUACCUAGGCAUGAGAACAGGCACUGUUUGUCUUCCUAGGCCUGAGUUAACCUCAGCCAGUGUAAUGUUUUUCAGGUUUAUCCGUUCACCUUCAUAAUUUCAUCUUUCCUUACAGAUAGACAAAACUACAUUUAAUAUGGGUACCACAUUUUCAUUACCCAACCACCAGCUAAUUGAGAUCCUGCCUGCUUUCAUUUCCUGACUAUUGAGACUAUGCUCAAAUAUAUACUCAGGAGUGAACUAGCUGGGUAACAUGGGAGAUUCUGGUUUUGAGGAUAGACACACGGAUUUCCAUGGUGGCCACACCAUCAUACUCCCUCUAGCAGUGUGUGAGGAUUCUCUGUUCCCCACACUCCUGUCACAGUGUUGUUGACAUCUGGUAUCUUCUUUCUUUCCUUCCUUCCUUCCUUCCUUCCUUCCUUCCUUCCUUCCUUCCUUCCUUCCUUCCUCCCUCCCUC
rnacentral:lncRNA from 1 species